rnacentral:rRNA from 1 species
GAUGAACGCUAGCGAUAGGCUUAACACAUGCAAGUCGAGGGGCAGCGAGGGUAGCAAUACCUGUCGGCGACCGGCGCACGGGUGAGUAACGCGUAUGUAACCUGCCCGCAACAGGGGGAUAACCCGGCGAAAGUCGGACUAAUACCGCAUAAAACAGGGGUCCCGCAUGGGAAUAUUUGUUAAAGAUUUAUCGGUUGCGGAUGGGCAUGCGUACCAUUCGGUAGUUGGUGAGGUAACGGCUCACCAAGCCUUCGAUGGUUAGGGGUUCUGAGAGGAAGGUCCCCCACACUGGUACUGAGACACGGACCAGACUCCUACGGGAGGCAGCAGUGAGGAAUAUUGGUCAAUGGGCGAGAGCCUGAACCAGCCAAGUCGCGUGAAGGAUGACUGCCCUAUGGGUUGUAAACUUCUUUUACAAGGGAAUAAAAUGAGAUACGUGUAUUUUAUUGCAUGUACCUUGGGAAUAAGCAUCGGCUAACUCCGUG